AACGCACAUGGCGCCUUCCAGUAUCCUGGGAGGCAUGCCUGUCCGAGCGUCGUUUCAACCCUCGAGCCCCUGUGGCCCGGCGUUGGGGAUCUGCCACGGCAGGCCCCUAAAACCAGUGGCGGACCCGAAGGGCCCUCUCCUUUGCGCAGUAGCAUUCGCCUCGCAUCGGGAGUCCUCGGCGUCCUGCCUCUAAACCCCCACAAGCCCGCUCCGGCGGCACCAAGGUUGACCUCGGAUCAGGUAGGAAUACCCGCUGAACUUAA
rnacentral:misc_RNA from 1 species